UACAGAGGUGGCAAGCGUUAUUCGGUACUACUGGGCUUAAAGAGUUCGUAGGCGGCUCUGUAGGUGAGAUGUGAAAGCCCUCGGCUUAACCGAGGAACUGCGUUUCAAACCACAGGGCUUGAGGGAGAUAGGGGUAAGCGGAACAGAUGGUGGAGCAGUGAAAUGCAUUGAUAUCAUCUGGAACACCGGUGGCGGAGGCGGCUUACUGGGUCUUUUCUGACGCUGAGGAACGAAAGCUAGGGUAGCGAACGGG
rnacentral:rRNA from 1 species